rnacentral:siRNA from 1 species
UUGCAACGUGCGACUGUGUUCUGC